rnacentral:pre_miRNA from 1 species
AGUAGAUUGCUGGAUCACAUGGUAGAAGUAUGUUUAGUUUUGUAGGAAAUUGCCAAACUGUCUUCCAAAGAGACUGUCAGUUUUGCAUUCCUACCAGCAAU